UUCAAUGUGGCAGAACAAGUGCCAUGAAUUUAAGAUUCAUAUAUAAAGAUAUAUCUUUCAUUGAAA
rnacentral:tRNA from 1 species